CGGUCUCGCUGGGGGUGCUGGCCCCGCCGUCGUCCGACGGCCAGGCCGGCUGAGAGAGUCCCUUAGAACCUGAUUGAGGUAAUCCUCGCGCAGGGAAGUCGAGUCCGGACGCCG
rnacentral:ncRNA from 1 species